rnacentral:rRNA from 1 species
GAACUGAAGAGUUUGAUCCUGGCUCAGAUUGAACGCUGGCGGGAUGCUUUACACAUGCAAGUCGGACGGCAGCACGGGCUUCGGCCUGGUGGCGAGUGGCGAACGGGUGAGUAAUGUAUCGGAACGUGCCCAGUAGCGGGGGAUAACUACGCGAAAGCGUGGCUAAUACCGCAUACGCCCUACGGGGGAAAGCGGGGGACCUUCGGGCCUCGCACUAUUGGAGCGGCCGAUAUCGGAUUAGCUAGUUGGUGGGGUAACGGCCUACCAAGGCGACGAUCCGUAGCUGGUUUGAGAGGACGACCAGCCACACUGGGACUGAGACACGGCCCAGACUCCUACGGGAGGCAGCAGUGGGGAAUUUUGGACAAUGGGGGCAACCCUGAUCCAGCCAUCCCGCGUGUGCGAUGAAGGCCUUCGGGUUGUAAAGCACUUUUGGCAGGAAAGAAACGGCACGGGCUAAUAUCCUGUGCAACUGACGGUACCUGCAGAAUAAGCACCGGCUAACUACGUGCCAGCAGCCGCGGUAAUACGUAGGGUGCAAGCGUUAAUCGGAAUUACUGGGCGUAAAGCGUGCGCAGGCGGUUCGGAAAGAAAGAUGUGAAAUCCCAGGGCUUAACCUUGGAACUGCAUUUUUAACUACCGGGCUAGAGUGUGUCAGAGGGAGGUGGAAUUCCGCGUGUAGCAGUGAAAUGCGUAGAUAUGCGGAGGAACACCGAUGGCGAAGGCAGCCUCCUGGGAUAACACUGACGCUCAUGCACGAAAGUGUGGGGAGCAAACAGGAUUAGAUACCCUGGUGGUAGUCCACGCCCUAAACGAUGUCAACUAGCUGUUGGGGCCUUCGGGCCUUGGUAGCGCAGCUAACGCGUGAAGUUGACCGCCUGGGGAGUACGGUCGCAAGAUUAAAACUCAAAGGAAUUGACGGGGACCCGCACAAGCGGUGGAUGAUGUGGAUUAAUUCGAUGCAACGCGAAAAACCUUACCUACCCUUGACAUGUCUGGAAUCCCGAAGAGAUUUGGGAGUGCUCGCAAGAGAACCGGAACACAGGUGCUGCAUGGCUGUCGUCAGCUCGUGUCGUGAGAUGUUGGGUUAAGUCCCGCAACGAGCGCAACCCUUGUCAUUAGUUGCUACGAAAGGGCACUCUAAUGAGACUGCCGGUGACAAACCGGAGGAAGGUGGGGAUGACGUCAAGUCCUCAUGGCCCUUAUGGGUAGGGCUUCACACGUCAUACAAUGGUCGGGACAGAGGGUUGCCAACCCGCGAGGGGGAGCCAAUCCCAGAAACCCGGUCGUAGUCCGGAUCGCAGUCUGCAACUCGACUGCGUGAAGUCGGAAUCGCUAGUAAUCGCGGAUCAGCAUGUCGCGGUGAAUACGUUCCCGGGUCUUGUACACACCGCCCGUCACACCAUGGGAGUGGGUUUUACCAGAAGUAGUUAGCCUAACCGCAAGGGGGGCGAUUACCACGGUAGGAUUCAUGACUGGGGUGAAGUCGUAACAAGGUAGCCGUAUCGGAAGGUGCGGCUGGAUCACCUCCUUU